rnacentral:rRNA from 1 species
AGAGUUUGAUCCUGGCUCAGGACGAACGCUGGCGGCGUGCUUAACACAUGCAAGUCGAACGAAGCUUGAUUACGGAUUCUUCGGAUGAAGUAUGAUAUGACUGAGUGGCGGACGGGUGAGUAACGCGUGAGUAACCUGCCCUUCAGAGGGGGAUAGCGUUUGGAAACGAACGGUAAUACCGCAUAAUGUAUUUUGACCGCAUGAUCGAAAUACCAAAGAUUUAUCGCUGAAGGAUGGACUCGCGUCUGAUUAGGUAGUUGGUGGGGUAACGGCCUACCAAGCCGACGAUCAGUAGCCGGACUGAGAGGUUGAUCGGCCACAUUGGGACUGAGACACGGCCCAGACUCCUACGGGAGGCAGCAGUGGGGAAUAUUGCACAAUGGGCGCAAGCCUGAUGCAGCAACGCCGCGUGAAGGAAGACGGUUUUCGGAUUGUAAACUUCUGUUCUUAGUGAAGAAUAAUGACGGUAGCUAAGGAGCAAGCCACGGCUAACUACGUGCCAGCAGCCGCGGUAAUACGUAGGUGGCAAGCGUUGUCCGGAAUUACUGGGUGUAAAGGGAGCGCAGGCGGGUGAUCAAGUCAGCUGUGAAAACUACGGGCUUAACCCGUAGACUGCAGUUGAAACUGUUCAUCUUGAGUGAAGUAGAGGUUGGCGGAAUUCCGAGUGUAGCGGUGAAAUGCGUAGAUAUUCGGAGGAACACCGGUGGCGAAGGCGGCCAACUGGGCUUUAACUGACGCUGAGGCUCGAAAGUGUGGGGAGCAAACAGGAUUAGAUACCCUGGUAGUCCACACUGUAAACGAUGAUUGCUAGGUGUGGGGGGUCUGACCCCUUCCGUGCCGGAGCUAACGCAAUAAGCAAUCCACCUGGGGAGUACGACCGCAAGGUUGAAACUCAAAG